CCUGACAUCCUGGUCAUCUGUGGAGGGGUCAUCCCACCUCAGGACUAUGAGUUCCUGUACCAGACUGGUGUGUGCUGUAUCUUCGGCCCCGGGACGAGAAUCCCUCAGGCUGCAGUAGAGGUGAUAGACAACAUUGAGAAGAGCCUGGACAAGAUCCGCCAGGCCAUGUAGACAGAUUGCUGAUGAACAAUAUAACUCAAUAAUAUAGUCUACUGUGUGUGUGUGCGUGUGUACACACACACAGCGAUGGGAAGAAGUUGCAAACAAUGGCGUGUGAUAUCUGCACAGGAUGAUAGAAUAGCGCUAUGAGAUUGUGACAUGAAUAUAUUCAUAAUGACUGUGUGAAUUUUUCCCUAAACCACAACCAAUAAUAUACAGUUUAGUCUACAGAUCUCCUAGUCUGUCUUCAUCAGCGUUUCUCAAUCCAUUUCUCAAUCAAGGACUUGGUGAUUGGUUGUGUACAGUAAGUGCUGGGUUUGAAAACGUGUUCUUUCUGAGCACUCCCCUAAGGAUAGAUUGUAAAACACUGAUAUGGGGCGGCUGGUAGCCUAGUGGUUAGAGCGUUGGACUUGUAACCGAAAGGUUGCAAGAUCGAAUCACCGAGCUGACAAGGUAAAAAUCAUUCUGCCCCUGAACAAGGCAGUUAACCCACUGUUCCUAGGCCUUCAUUGAAAAUAAGAAUUUGUUCUUAACUGACUUGCCGAGUUAAAUAAAGGUAAAGAAAUAAAAUAAAAUUAGACAGAAUAAAUAUUGAAAAUAUAAUAGUGUGAAAUCUGCACAGGAUAUUAUGGUAGAACAAGGAGAUUGUGGAAAUAUUCGUAAUAAAAGUUAUCUAAAGUCACUGAACUUAUGUUGUCAAUAAAAAUAAUGUGAUAUGUUUGCUGUAACAGCUUAAGGUUUUCCAUGGUUCAGAUGAGAUAUUGAAUCUGAUCAAUACAAUCAUUAACUUUAACAAAACUUAUCUUGAUUACUUAUCGAUUUGGGUUUUUACUGCUGGCUAACUUCAAAAUUACUUUGCGCGUAGUAUCGCGAAGAUACACUACCGUGUGACCUUUUUAUUUAUCCAGGUAGAUUAUAGAGAAGUUGAGAACACAUUAUCUUUAACAAUAACAACCUGGCAAUAGGAUAGUCAUUUGGCAUAUUAGGUCAUUUCUCUCACAAUCAUUUUUACUUUCUCUCUUCCUUGUUCUGUGUGAAAAUGAGAAACAUGCCAGACCCUUUAACCCCAGAACUCGCCCUCAGACAAAUGGUAAUGACUAAAUUUAAUACAUUGACACCGGGAACAAAUUCUGACUUGGAAGUCCUAAGAGCAGCUUUGACCCCCCAUAUGUAAAAUCACUUAUUUUGUCACAAUGGGUUAAGAGAUUUGCCUGAUUCUCACUUCUCAAGUUAGAGAUUCUAACUGAUAGAGAGAUUACCUCAAGGACAGAUCAGACAUGAUAGACAAUACAAAGUGGGCCGUUGCUGGCUAUGUUACUGUAUGUAUUUGGUCAGAUAUCCUUUUGCCUUUAUGUUCAAGCUUUUGUAUUGUCUUUAUAUAUCUUGAUCCGGUUUAUUGGAAUAAGAGUUGAGUGCUGUGGAGACUGAUUACAUAUCCGCUGAUUGCCA